UGGGGGAUAUUGCACAAUGGGCGAAAGCCUGAUGCAGCGACGCCGCGUGGGGGAUGAAGGCCUUCGUGUUGUAAACUUCUUUUGCUCUGAACAAGGCGCACCAUGGGGUGUGUUGAGUGUAGGGGUUGAUUAGCGCCGGCUAACUACGUGCCAGCAGCCGCGGUAAUACGUAGGGCGCGAGCGUUGUCCGGAAUUAUUGGGCGUAAAGGGCUUGUAGGUGGCUGGUUGCGUCUGUCGUGAAAGCUCAUGGCUUAACUGUGGGUUUGCGGUGGGUGCGGGCUGGCUUGAGUGCAGUAGGGGAGGCUGGAAUUCCUGGUGUAGCGGUGGAAUGCGCAGAUAUCAGGAGGAAUACCGGUGGCGAAGGCGGGUCUCUGGGCUGUUACUGACACUGAGGAGCGAAAGCAUGGGGAGCGAACAGG
rnacentral:rRNA from 1 species